rnacentral:rRNA from 1 species
UACGGAGGGGGCGAGCGUUAUUCGGAAUUAUUGGGCGUAAAGGGCGCGUAGGCGGCUUGGUAAGUCAAAGGUGAAAUCCCUCGGCUCAACUGAGGAAUUGCCUUUGAAACUGCCUGGCUUGAGGCCGGGAGGGGGUAGCGGAAUUCCCAGUGUAGCGGUGAAAUGCGUAGAUAUUGGGAGGAACACCGGUGGCGAAGGCGGCUACCUGGACCGGUUCUGACGCUGAUGCGCGAAAGCCAGGGGAGCAAACGGG